UCCACCACGUAGAGACUGAGCAGCUACACAAGGUGUGAAAGGAAGUCAGAAAUCACCAGACCAGGCCAUUGCCAUGACAUUUCAGAUCGACUUCAUUUACUUAUCACAAAGGGAUCUCAGUGGGAUUGUCUGGUCUUGUUCUGCUCACAGUCCUGGGAUAUUUGAGCAACUUUGGUUGGUGCUUUGAACACUGAAUAUGAUGGGAUGAAACACAAGCCUUCAUCACAAGUCCUAUUUUUGAUAGCAUGCAUCCUGUUCUUCUUACGUAUAGACAAGAUGGUAGAACAAUGGACAAUGGAAAUGGGAAGAACUUAGUCUCUUGCAUUUGAUGACACCAACAGAGCAUCA